rnacentral:tRNA from 1 species
AUAGAAAUGAAAGGUACGAUGAGAGCUCAAAGCGCCCACACAGUUUGUUUUCGAGAAUAAGAAGAGACGACGAAGAAUCCGAAUGCGGGGCUUAAGACCCAAGCAUUGCCAGGGAAGAGAGCAGCGAAUUUUGCACUGGGUUCAGUGUGGAAGAGAAGCUGAAGCAAGAAUUUCUGCGGGGAUUUAUUCCUUAAUCGAGAUGUCAACGCGAAGGAGCAUACGCUCGGUAUGUGACCGAGGAAAAGCAUGUCGAUAACAAAGGGCAGAAAAAGCUAACAAAAGAAAUUUUGCAAGCAUGUUUUCGUAAUCGAGGCAUCGAUGCGGGUGAGUGAGGGAGCAUACGGCAGUAUGUGAUCGAACGAAAGGGUAUCGAUAACGGAGAGUAACGGAAAAGGCAGCGCAGAAAAAAGGGGUCGUAGCUCAGCUGGGAGAGCACCUGCCUUGCACGCAGGGGGUCGGGAGUUCGAUCCUCCCCGGCUCCACCAAUCAGUCGUUUCGGGAUUAUCAAGGCCAAAGAAUUUUCAGUUUAAAGAGGCUGAGAGUGCUUUUGUCUGGAAUAUCCGGAAGUUCAUUAACAAUUUGGUAGAGAAAUAGAGGUAACACAAGCGAAUUAGUAUUGUCCUUGUAGUAUAACCGAUGGCGCUUGGAACGGGCUAAUGAGCCUGUUUUGAGAAUCUUUGCAAAGUUUUUUCGUUAAUCGAUGAAGAGGGGCGAAAAGGGCGCUGUAGGGAGGUGGUUGAGGUUAUAU